ACUUAAAUUGAAGAGUUUGAUCAUGGCUCAGAUUGAACGCUGGCGGCAGGCCUAACACAUGCAAGUCGAGCGGCAGCGGGAAAGUAGCUUGCUACUUUUGCCGGCGAGCGGCG
rnacentral:rRNA from 1 species